CCGGGCCCGGGGCCCGCGGGGGCCGCGCAGGUCCCGCUGCUCGUCUGGAGCACGGAGCGGGCUCUGUGGCCCCCGCUGGCCGCCCCCGCGGGCCGGGUUCUGUCGGAGCCGGAGCUGCAGCAGCUCCUGGAGCCGGGGCUGCAGCGCGGGCCCCGCACGGUGCUGCUGUUCCUGCAGGACCAGCUCAGCCUGGAGGAUUUCACCGCUUUUGGGGGCGUUUUUGGGAAUGAACCCAACGGAGCCUUCCCCCGGCUGCAGGGUGCCCUGGGCUCGGCGGGGUCGGCGCUGACCCUGCCCUCGGUGGCCGGAGCCGCUGCGGCCGCGCUGCCGCUGACCCUGCAGAGGGCCCUGGGCGCCCCUCCCCCCCUGCGCCUGCCCGGGGGGGCCCUGGG